UGCCCGGAGGGCCCCGCACCCUCGCACAGUCCCGGAGCCCAGUGUGUGGCCGCGGGAGCCCUGACCGCCCCCUGGCACUGCGCCGGCGCUCGGGGGACAGGCGGCCUGAGCGUCCCCGUGUGACACGGACCGGGAGGGACAAGCUUGGUUUCUGCAGCAAGGGAGCUCGGAGGCCCCCUGGUUCGCCCCCCGGUUCACGGUCCUAAAGCCACCGGUUCUCGACCUUAACAUAAGGCGUCUUUUAAAAUGGUGUUUACCGGGGCCCCUCGCUGCCUGUCAGUAGAGCAUGUGACUCGAUCUCGGGGUUGUGGGUUCGAGCCCCACGUUGGGUACAGAGAUUACUUGAUCUUUUUAAAAAACUAAGUUUACAGACGUGGUCUCCCAGGACCCCCGGCCCCCCCUGCUGCCCUGGGACGGCCCCUCCGUGGGCUGCGUGGUUCCAGCCCGUCUCCAGCCGCUUCUGAGCACGGGGUCUGUAACCGAGGUGUGGAUUUCUGUGUCUGUAACGUGUUUCCUUGUACGCGCGGUUUUACCAUCCUACCUGUUCCUCCGAAGUCUUCCGCGUCGCACGCUGGUGGCCGUCUAGCUCACUCCUCUUCAUCACCAUCUAGUGUCCGUUGCAGGGCCCAUCACCCUCUCCCCAGGAUGUUUAAACGCCCUUUAUUUUUAUUCCUGAAGAUUUUAUUUUAGACAGAACGUGAGGGAGAGGGUCUUCUGCUGACUCGUGCUGAGUGUGGAGCCCGAAGAGCGGCUCGAUCCCACGACCCCGAGAUCACAAUCUGAGCUGAAAUCAAGAGUCAGACACUCACCGACUGGGUGCCCCUAAAUCCCAAUUUAAAAGCAAAACCGUUACCAGUUUUGAUGCUUCCCUUUGAUUAUAGGAAAAAGCAAGACACUCAUUUUAUAGAAAAACUUGAAGUUCAGACAUCUAGAAGGGAAAGUACGGGACCCUGUGCCCGUCUACCUGUAACUUUCCUAAAACCUACGUAUUUUCGUACAUACAUCGCUUGUGUCAACGUCUCUCAUGCCGUGUUUUCCCAGGUCGUUAGAGCUGGAACUGGGCCUGCAGGCUACAGCCCCGUGGCCAGCCCUGGACCGUGGCCUGGGUCUGGACGUCCUGCGAGCUUCAAGUGGCGUUUAUAGUCUUAAAGGUUUGAACACAAAGGCAGGCCAAGGCAGAGCUUGUGCUAGGCCCGGCGCGUGGCCAUGAAGCCCCACACGUCGACCGUCCGGUCCGUUCCAGGACACCUGUGCCCACUCCCCAUCCAGGCUGCCGCGAGCCAAGCUGGGCCGCCACGCUCAUGAGCUUCUCAGCGCAUGCAGGAUGGUGAGGCCACGUGGGGGGGUUCAGAGGGGGCUCGUGCCUUGUGACCCGACAGGACUUCGUGGAGGUGGCCCCAUGGCGACCUGGAAGGAUUCAGCCCCGCAGAGCGGCCGGUCCCCAUGGCAGAGACGCGGCUUCGCGGCGUCCUCCUCGGUGGCAGGUGUUCCGGCGCCGGCUGUCUGGCGGCUCCCCCAGUUUGCAGUUUGAACUCUUACCUCUGGGACCUAUUUGAAGAGCCUGGGGCACAGAGCGCAGGGCCGCGCCAUCGCAGAUGCCAAGGUUCGAGGACACCCGCCCGCUGGUUGCUGUACCCCUCGCGGUCCAGGACGGUGCGGCCCGACCCGGGGGCGCGGGUGAUGGCCGCGGGAGGACGAAGGUUAGCGAAGGGCAGCCUGCAGCUUUCUUAACGUGCGAGUCUUCCAGGCAGCGCUGUGGUCGUGGCCUCGUGGCCUGAGCGGUGCCGCCUCGACGGUCUGGGAACCCCGAGUGUGGCCUCGCUUCAGUCCCCGGCCGGGGGUGGCCUGUGUGCCCCGCCGUUACCCCUGGGCCUGAAGGGGCGCCGAGGCCAGAGCGGGGGGCGGGCCAGAGGGGCUCUGCAGUGGCGGGGGCAGCCAGGGGCCCCACGCUGGGCCCGGCCCUGGGGGGCGGCGCAGCCCACGGGCGGGAGGGACUCCAGAGCUCGGGAGCCGCACACUCAGCCGCAAGGUUUCCAAAUCCAGCAGAAUGGGAGGCCUGUCCUAAUUAGUGGGCAGACGCCUCCAAGACUUAAAAUUCCCAAAUCAGGGGAUCCCAGGGUGGCUCAGCAGCUUAGUGCCUACCUUCGGCCCAGGGUGUGACCCCGGGGUCCCGGGAUCGAGUCCGUCGGGCUCCUGCAUGGAGCCUGCUUUUCCCUCUGCUUGUGUCUCUGCCUCCCUCUCUGUGUCUCUCAUGAAUAAAUAAAAUCUUUUAAAAAAAAUUCCAAAAUCACUUUGCUGAGAGAACUUCUGUAGCUUUAAUUUCUCAUUAGCUUUUUAGAAAAGGUUCCUAAAACAUCAGACAGCCCGAACCUAGCUCCUUCCACCCCGCUGUGUCCCACUGCCGUCCACGGGGCAUUGGGAUGCCCAUCAGAGGCCGCACGGAGAGAAUUGCCUAAGCAGAGUCCUCAGCCGGGUGACCUCCUGCGAUGAGCAGAUAAAAGGGCAGAAAAUGAGAGGGGAGACCGCUGGUGUGACUGAACCUGUGACCGCAGCUGAUGUUCGGAGCCUACUGGGAUUAUUUACUGAGUUCUUUGCCGCCCUGUUCUCCCAAAGCUAAGAUCAGAGCGUGUACCGGAGGGAGAGCAGCAAACUGGAGGGAGUGGAGUCGGGGGUGGCUCAGUCCAUGGACUGUCAGGCUGCAGCAACCCUGUUCCCUGGGGGAUUGGAAGUAACGCUCUUGCAGAUCUCUUGGAAACCAGAAGGGUGGCUCUAGAAGCAAUUCAUAUCGCAGCUCUCCUUGCCAGUCCCACGACCUCCCCUUCUCUGCUCUGCGCUCACAGGUACGAAGAGGACAGCGCUGAGAGCUUGUCGUGCCUUCCGAACACGAAGGGAAGCCUUUUGGUAGAGCUCACCCGGGACCUGAGGGGACUGGUGGACGCGGCCCUGGACGCCCAGCCCUCCUGGAGAGUUCUGGAGACUUCCUCUGUGCCUUUGAGAUGUGGAUUUUCUACCCCCAGCUACUCCAGGACCUCAGUCAUGAUUUGAGAUGCAAACUUGAGGGAGGGAGGAUGGGAUUUAUCUACUUUUGGCUUCCUCGUAGAGAGGAACUAAAAGAUUCUUGGGUCUGUUAGGGGUUUGUGCCACGUGAAACAACUAUACACAUAAGGAAGCCUAGGUCUUAGGCAAAUCUGAGAACGUUCUAUGAUCUAGAGAAUACCGUGACAGUUCACAACUGGUUAUUGCCAUUCACUGGAAGGGUCUCAGGCUUAAAAGAUUCUAAUGCGACUGAAGCAACUAGAACAAGGAAAACAUUGCAAGGAAAGUGAUUUGGAUAAAAGAGGUCUGAGGAACGGAGAUGGACUUUUUUUUUAAUAAAGAUUUUAUUAGAGCACGAGCAGUGGGCAGAGGGAGAAGCAGACUCCCCACUGAGCAGGGCGCCCGACACAGGACUCGAUCCCAGAAUCCUGACAUCAAGACCUGAGCUGGAGGCAGACGCUUCACCCGCUGAACCACCCAGGCGCCCGAUGUACUUUUGUUGAGGACAAAGCUGCAGAUGCGAGGAAACCUUCUCCUGAGGUAUUAACAAUUUAACAUACACCUUUUGUGAGCAGAGACGAAACAAUUUUUCUCCUCACCUGAUCUCUCCAGAUUUUGCAAACUUCGUAUUCUCAUUUUAGUGGCAAUCUAUGUGCGGAAGUGCAAUAGAACCCGGUCCUGCUACAGGACGUGACUGGGAAUGUUGGCUGUGUUACGAGGCUUCGACUGGAGUGUCCUGAGAGUGAUGUAAAGACUGAGAUGAUCAGCUUUCAAGAGCUAAGGCUGAUCUUCUGAAGCCAAUAAAGACCCUUGGGGAAAAUCAGUGUGGCCCCUUGCUCACAGGGUUCCCGGCAGCCUGACCUGGUUGGUGACCCAGGAGCCUCAGGGUAUUUUGGGGACCUUGAGAAGAGAUGAAUUUACCCAAACUGGUGUGUAUUGCAGACAAAGUCUGAUGGCAGGUCCUUGGUGUGGCUUCUUAGCCUGGAGAGGCUUUUGAGGUUCAUCCAAGACUCCUUAUGGAAAGUUCCAGCAAAGCAGACUUAGUAGAGCCUAGAUGGUGAUACUAUUCUUCUGCAUCUAUGUAAAUAACCAGGCUAAGUUUACUCUAACGAGACUUAACUGGAAAACAGACUUAGUCUCACUGCAGUUGUCUUUGAUGGAAGCCGGGUGGCUGCAGAGAGACACCAUGUUUAAGUAGUACGCCUUCGUGGCCAGCAGAUUCUGUGCUGUUAACGGGCUGUGAGGUUUUGUUUUCUACCCGUAAACUGGACUAGGUCCCAAAUUCUUCUGUUUUCCUGUUAUAUUUGGCUGUAACUCUCCACAAAUUGAUGUUUCCAAUGCACCCUGCCUUUCUUACUUGGAGCUGCUGAGAACUAAAACCGCCCUCUUCCUGAAGCUGCGCAAACCAGCCAGACACCCCAUCAGGCACUCCAGAGGAACCACAUGAGCUCACGUGGGCACAGUCUUUCUGCCUGCUGCUGCGUGGGCCACUCAGAAAGCUUCACACUGAAGUCACUCAGAAAGAGACUUCACACUGCAGGUUAGGGCCAUCUGCCCGAUUUCCACUGCCUGGCUUCACUGCAUAUGAAGAUGCUCUAAGCUCCGGAGCUCAGAAAUGGGGACUAUAGUCUGCUCCAGUCAUUACGCCCUGUUGUUUUCUUCUGUCCCCACAGAAAAGCUUCUUAUCAAACACCUGAUUCCUCAUACGCAGGCCUAACCCGGGAGCCCUCUUGCAUAGCUGCCUCCUGAAAUCAGACCCAACUGCUUAACAGAACCAAUUCUCAGGACUAAGAGACGGGGUCCAUGGGCUGGAGCAAUCUACAGCUCAAUUUCUGGGCUGCAAAACUCUCAGGAAUUUCAAAGGUGGGCCUGAGGGAGGGAGAGAGUAUGUGAGCCCCAAAUAUGCUACUUUGGCAAGUGGAUUUAGUUUGAGCUGAAGACCAUCAAGAUGCAGCACGUUUAAGAAAUGUUUGCCUCUCCCUUAACUCCCUAGAAGGGUUUGGGUAGGAGGCCGUGCUGGGGUGGGAGUGGGGGGGCAGGGGCGGCUGUUCUUAUCGGCUAUCAACUUUCAUCUGCAUGACUUAGCUGUUCAGCAGGGUAAGCAUCUAAUGACCAAGAUCUGUUGUUCCAGCUCCGUGAUCCUCCUCCUCUCCUGUGGAAGCCCCAGGCCCCUAGCUCACUCUUUAGGCACAGAAGCCUCUAUUGCCUGGCUGUCCUUGGGUGUCCUAUUCUUAUGGGUCCCUUGUAUGUACAUAAUUAAACUUUUGUCCUGUUAAUCUGCAUAAUGUCAAUUUUCUUAUAAGACCAAGCAAAGAACCUAGCAGGGGAGAGGAGAAAACUCUCCUCCCCAAUACUGUGUAAAUACUAAAGCAAAUGUGCUGACGUUCCGGAUGAAAGAACACGUAAAUAUUACAUGUUCUUGGUUCAGAAAUACCUCCUGACCCACCUGCCUCCCUGGUUUUAUGCAUUAGGAGCUCCUCUCGUCUCCCUGUGAUGUACAAAGCACAGAAGAAAUACGGUGGCUUCUUUUCCACCAUCCCCAGGCCUGUCCACGGUGCGUGGCAUCAGCUGAAAAAGAAUCAGAUGGAUAAAAGUGAUGUGUUUAGUUCUGGGAUGUGAGAGGAGGGAAUGAGAGGGAAGGCACAUGGCAGUCUGUUUGGUGUUUCUCUGCUUUUAUGCCCAAAUGAACUAGAAGAUUUACAGGGUGAGAAGGGAGCUUAUGUUUUUCAGCUUGUCUCUGAGGAUAUUCAGAAUUAAUACGUGAAACAGCCCAGCUUUCAAGAAUAAACAAAAGGGACCCAGUGCAUCCUCUGGGCCACUGCUGCCUAUGCCCACCGUGUGCAGAGCACGUUCACCCCCUGGACUCCUGAACCACGGCAGAGCUGUGGGCACGGAGCUCGGUGGAGUCUGACAGGGCGCCAGAAGGGCCUGGACCUCCACCCUGGCUCCAGACAAAGAAGACCUGUUUCCAGGCACCUGUGAAAGAUUUUAUUGAGUCCGUCAGUCCUGCUAAUAUCUUAGGUCCAGUGUACACGGUUUACAGAGGCCCUGGUGGCUCCGAAGGCGAGUGCCCUACGCCAGCUUGAGGCACUGUGUGUUGAAGCUGUCCCCUUCUUUGCCAGCGACCGCCUGGAGCAGGGACUGCUUCUUCUGCAUGCUGCGGGAGGACUCCAGCUCAUACAUGGUGGUCAGGUUGAAGAGCACGCUCUCGUGCAGGUAAUGCUGGGGGUCCUGCUGGACCAUGGCCUCCAGCUGCCGGAGGGAGUCCUUGAGUUUGCCCAGGUAGAGAAGGCACACGGCAGCGUUGUUGUUGGCCUGGGGAAGAGGAACACACGCAUGGGGUCAGAUACGGCUGCUGUCCAGGGCCCACGUGUCCCCCUGGUUGCGUGCAUGAGGGGCAGUGGGCGUGGCUGUGGCUGGCUCUGUCGGAAACCCUCCCACGCCUGCCAGGACUGAUGAGGAUGGACACAGGACAGGCUCACGGUGUGCGCUCCUGGCUCUUUUGGGGCCUUACCACCGCAUUUGUUGGGUCAAUCUUGAGGAUUUCUGUGAAGAAUCUGUGGGCUUCUGCAAAGUUAUUCUGACCAAGGUGAAGGAAAGCUCUGGAACAUAACAGACAGGUAAACAGUUAACCAGAGGGGCAGGGCAGCUCCCCAGGUGGCACGGACAGGAACAUGCCCCAUCUGCCCCCUGCAUAAUCCUGAGCAGCCUGGUGCUGGGGAGGGGCCGCUGCAGCUGAAUGAACCACACCCGUGUCCUGGCUGCCAAGUUAAACCCUCAUUAGGUCAGAGGUCACGAUGUCACCUCAAUGACUCCUGCUCUCCAAGGACACCUGCAUGAUGGCGUGAGCUCUGCCCUGGGCACGGGCUCCAUCGUCAACCUCUGCCCCCAGCCAGCCCCACAGUGUGCUUGACUCAUGAGGACACAGAAACAGAGGCACUAAGGCAGCAGGGGGCACGAGGGGGCCUAGACUUAACAACAAAUAUUUACACACAUUUGUGUGCAGACGGGCAAUAUCAACAGCAAGGGGAAAAAUCUUAGGCAUCUUCCGGUCUUAAUGGAUUUUAAGUUCUAGGAGACAGCAGCACAUGUCCUGGUGGUGAUGGAGAGGACUUCCGGGUCAGGUCUGGGUGCAGGGCUGGGAGGCCGUUCCUAGAGGGCUUUACUAAGGAGAGUCUGAGCCCUCAGGAAAUCUGAGAAAAUACUGUCGCAUGAGGCUUACCUGUUCAUUAAAACCAUUAUCCUGCCUUGUA